UAAAUAGCCAGGCCGGCUUUCGCUGGUCGCCGGCUUCUUAGAGGGACUGUCAGCGUCUAGCUGACGGAAGUUUGAGGCAAUAACAGGUCUGUGAUGCCCUUAGAUGUUCUGGGCCGCACGGUACGUAAUUACUUUUUAUUUCCCCCACCCUACCCUACCUUCCACGUUUUCUGGACAUUAACUAACGAUUUUAUAGCGCGCUACACUGACAGAGCCAGCGAGUACAUCACCUUGGCCGAAAGGUCUG
rnacentral:rRNA from 1 species